rnacentral:rRNA from 1 species
AUUGAACGCUGGCGGCAGGCCUAACACAUGCAAGUCGAACGAGUGGCGGACGGGUGAGUAAUGUCUGGGAACCUGCCCGAUGGAGGGGGAUAACUACUGGAAACGGUAGCUAAUACCGCAUACCAUCGGAUGUGCCCAGGUGGGAUUAGGUAGUUGGUGGGGUAACGGCUAACCAAGGCGACGAUCCCUAGCUGGCCUGAGAGGAUGACCAGCCACACUGGAAUGGAGACACGGUCCAGACUCCUACGGGAGGCAGCAGUGGGGAAUAUUGCACAAUGGGCGCAAGCCUGACACAGCCAUGCCGCGUGAAUGAAGAAGGCCUUCGGGUUGUAAAGUACUUUCAGCGGGGAGGCGUUACCCACAGAAGAAGCACCGGCUAACUCCGUGCCAGCAGCCGCGGUAAUAC